rnacentral:rRNA from 1 species
UACAGAGGGUGCAAGCGUUGUUCGGAAUUACUGGGCGUAAAGCGCGUGUAGGCGGCGUCGUUAGUCGGAUGUGAAAGCCCUCGGCUCAACCGAGGAAGUGCAUCCGAUACUGCGAGGCUUGAGUGUUGGAGGGGGUGGCGGAAUUCCCGGUGUAGAGGUGAAAUGCGUGAGAGAUCGGGAAGAACGCCAAGGGCGAAGGCACUCUGCUAGGCCUGAUUUCGCGACUGACACUCAGGGACGAGAGCCAGGGGAGCGAAUGGG